AGGAUUAACGCUGGCGGCGUGCCUAACACAUGCAAGUCGAACGAGGUAGCAAUACCUAGUGGCAGACGGGUGAGUAACGCGUGGUCAACCUACCGUUGAGUGGGGGAUAACUAGCCGAAAGGUUAGCUAAUACCGCAUACGAGUCUCGGGGGCAUCCCUGAGCCUUAAAAGGAGCAAUCCGCUCGAUGACGGGACCGCGUCCCAUUAGCUAGAUGGUGGGGUAACGGCCUACCAUGGCACCGAUGGGUAGCUGGUUUGAGAGAGCGACCAGCCACACUGGGACUGAGAAACGGCCCAGACUCCUACGGGAGGCAGCAGUGAGGAAUUUUCCGCAAUGGGCGAAAGCCUGACGGAGCGACGCCGCGUGUGGGAAGGAGGCCUUCGGGUCGUAAACCACUGUCGAAGGGGACUAUACUGAAGGUACCCUUGGAGGAAGCCCCGGCUAACUACGUGCCAGCAGCCGC
rnacentral:rRNA from 1 species